UGUGGACAUAGCCUUAGUCAAGUUUAGUAAGGCCUCCACCUGUGUAUAUCCUCCUGGUGUUUACUGAUGAUUUGCUCCCCAAGAUGAGAGUUCACACCAUGCUGUCAUGUCUGGGGCUAACCAGAAGCAACCACCCUGCUGCUGGGAAUGAGACAAGAGGUAAUGAAGAAGCUCCUGGGCUGGAGGCAGCAUAAGAUACAGUCUGGGGCCUCGUUCAUAGACCGGAAUCCGGUGGAAACAUCCAGCUUGGAAAUUCCAUUGCAGCAGAGUUGCAUUGUUUUCAAUAGGAUUCUGCUGUACCUUGCACACGAUAUAAAACAUGUGUUGUGACAAUUCCGAUUCCAGCCUCAUAAAAAAAAAUUGACAUUUUAAUUCAUCCGGAGGAAUCUGCUCUAAUAAGAGCUCUAGUAAGACAGACACUGCAGCUGUUGCUAAGUUUGGAGGCAGGAGGCCCAGCACCUUACUUUUAGAGAUUAAUUCCAUUUACCUCCAUCUAUUAGGAUACCAGGAAAAAUCACAUGGAAUAGGAAUCCUGAAUGCAUCCAGAAAUGGAAUCUGUCAGCAAGCCAGUGAAUUAAACUAAUAGCUGUAGUUGUGACACUUUCUAAUAAA